GCCACCCGACAUGGAGCCGGAGGCACGUUGCCUCACGCACAUAAAACACGAGGAACGCAUCGUUAUUAUCGGUUACUGUGACGUUUUGUUUCGCACAGGGUGCAACGGCCCACACGGGGCCACGCUGCGCUCCCUGGCCCGGCACAACGCGUGCUUCCCGGUCCCCGCUCCUCUCUCUCCCUGGGGCCGCCGGAGAUGCACACACAGGCCGGGCUGCGGGCAGCACCCCCCGGGGCGCUGGGGGGUUGGUGGGGCUGACGCGGCCUCCAUAGCUGUGAAUCAGCAGAAAACGGGCUUUAUUGCCCGCCGGUGGGAAUGCAGCACCCGCGGACAGACACGCUGCCUCUCUGCAGCCUCCGUCGUGCCCGCUCCGUCCCCCCCCUCCCCACCCCCACGGGCGGCGGUAGCGCCGCGCAGCUCCGCGCCGGGCGGAUGAUGCAACGCGGCCCGGGCUCCAUGUGCUUUCCCCUCCCCCUCCGCGGCGUGUUUUUUUUUCCGCCUGGAGGGUCACCCGGCGGCUGAUUGAUUCUCCUUUCGCCCUGCUCAGUCAUUCGGGGUUGGAAAGUAAAUAACAAGUUGACAUCAUUACCGCGCUCCGCAGUGCCCCGCCGCGCCGCUACCGCGCGGCGACGAGUAGCUGCGCACGCAAAAACAAAAAGCCUCGCCGCACCGGGCCCAGCCCCUGGGACCGCACCUGCCCGCCGCCCCCCAGCACAGCGGGGCCCGGGGCCGGCGCCCCCCCGACCUCGGCUCGUACCUCCACAGCGCUGGAGUGGGGUUCCGGCCGGUUGCAGGGAGCCGCCGCGUUUGUUGGUGGUGGUUGCAGCUCCGCGAACCCCCCCUCCCCCCCCUCCCCGCCCAACCCCCACCUCGGCCUCAUGGCUAAUGUCAUGCAAAUAAUAAGAUUAUCUGGAUGUUGCCUGGGUGUCUGCCUCGGUGGGCUGAUCCCGGUGACAGCGAGACUCGCUCGGCACCGAAAGUCGUAUUUAUUAUUGUCGUGGUUUUGAUUUUUUUUGUUUCCUCUAAAUGACCUUUCCACUUUUUUUUUUUUUUUUGGUCUUAUUUUGACAUUAAAGGGAAUUUCCUGCUCAUUAUACAUUUAGCCCAAAGCCUACGUAUGUGCUGUCGCCAAGCGUACAUAUGGAAAAAUAUGAUGUAAUCCAAGGCAGCACAACAAAGAUCAUUGCUACAUACAUUCACGUAUGUGUUGAAACGAGAACUCUCGAAACACUGGGAAAUGUUAUUGCGGGCUCAUGUGAUUCAUUUUCGUAUUUGGAGCCUAGAGACUGCAGCACAAGGCCAUCAGCGCUUAAGCUGACAUACCAACAAAUGUCUAAUGUUCUAAAUAAGCUCCCAUUCCACUUUUUUUCAAAAAUAAAACCUACAUUAGGUUCUUAUUACUUGACAAUGUAAACAAACAGAAACCCUCUCCAGAUUUAUAGUGAGACGGCACUGAAUUUUUACUUCUUGUGCUUUUUGCUUAUUUGCUUGCUUUUAAAGUGCUAUGGGCUUACAAAUGAAGUAAGCUCGUCAGAAAAUGCUUGCAAGUCAAGACCUGUGUAGCUUCUGAGGCUUGGUCAUCCAGUAAAGAGGCUGGGACCAUUCCCACUCCUGCAUUCUCUCUCUAGGAGACCUUAUUGCAGCCUUUCAUUAUUUAAAAGGGGACUAUAAGAAAGGUGGGGACAGACUUUUUAACAGUGCCUGUUGCAACAGGACAGGGGGUAAUGGUUUUAAACUAAAUGACGGAAGAUUCAGGCCAGACACCAGGAAGAAGUUUUUUACAAUGAGGGUGGUGAAGCACUGACCCAGGUUGCCCAGAGAGGUGGUAGAUGCCCCGUCCCUGGAGACAUUCCAGGCCAGGCUGGACGGGGCUCUGAGCAACGUGAUCUAGUUGAAGAUGUCCCUGCUCAGUGCAGGGGGUUGGACUAGAUGACCUCUGAAGGUCCCUUCCGACCCAAACUAUUGUAUGAUUCUACUAAUUAAGCUCUUACUCCCUCUUACUCUGGUCCUGGCAGCUCAGCCUGGCCAGGCAAGCUCAGCACUGGGACACUGGUGUUGCAUCAUUGGAGGGCUGUGUGGCUGGGAAGCACCAGGGCAGGGGGAUGUCUCCAGCAGCAGCCCCAGUGAGAGGCGGCAUUACAGAUCUAUCCUGGCCGGUGCAGCCUUCCAAGACAUGGGCUUGAUUUUUCACUGCUGAGGAGCAGCAUGUGCUCAUCCUACACUGCCUGGAUGCUCUGGCCACGUAACCUAGUUUGAACCUCUGGCUCAGAAAGCCGUGGGGUCCCAGCUGGGCACCCAGCUCAUCCCAGGUUGGCCAGAGCCCAGCCACAUGCGCUCUUCUGCUGAACGGGCAGGGAGAUGGGGCUGGUCAAGAAAAGAUGGGGUGGUGGGGAGCAGGAGGUAUUGCCACAGCAGGGAAGUUACACUGCAGCAUCAUAUGGAUAUGAUCAAGUGACUUUUUCUCUCAGUUUUAACAGGGCACAAUUGCUGCUCAUGAGCAAGGCAGUGUGAGUCCUGCAGGAAGCAAGCCAGGGCUGCCCACCUCUCCUCGCUUUCUGAACUGGUUCCUACGGCCCAUCCGAGUUGUCUGUAUGUCUGUCCAUUGCUGCGUCUGAGCAGCAGCAGCGAGGGCAGGCAUGGACCGGGCAGGCUGCAGCUGACCCUUGGGGAGACCAGGUUAAAUAUUGAUGUGAUGCUUGCUGAGAACUUAAAAUGAAGUCUGUCAAGGGACGUGCUUUUUUCAAGCUUUCCUUGGCUAAAGGGAGAAGCACAGAACCCAUGAGAAAGACUUGGGGUUUUUCAAUGAAAAUUAAAAAAACCCUCCAACUAUAAAGUGAUGGUAGAAUAAAAGAUAAAAGAGUGAAUUGCUGCUCUGGCCCUUAGAAUAGUUUUGGCCUUUGUGUGACAGAAGACCCCAAAGUGACCAUAUAUAAAAGAAAUCACCAGGUUUUUAAGAGGUUUUUCUUUCAGUUUCAUAACCCGUGAUGCAGCGACAGUGAUCAGCAGUGGUGCUGCGGCCCUGAAGCUCCGCACCAAGGAAGCCAGAGCUGCGGUUUCUUACCCUCAUUAAAAUGGAAACCCAAACCUGAAACAAUCAAAGUGAAGGGCUAGCAGGGUGGCCUACUGUGGAGAUAAUGGGAUCAUAAGACAAAAUAUUUUGCAUUUUAAAAGAUGAAAGCCAUUGUUAUUUUUCUAGUGCUUCAUCAUCAUGUAUUGUGUUGGUAACUGUUUCUAACUAUGUUUUCCCCUUACACCAUGUUUUUCUGUUCUCUGACUAUACAGGUGAAACAAAAAUUCUCCUGAAUAAGCAAAUCACUCAAAAAUAAACAAUUCUACUUUUAUGUAGUUAAAAAUUCUCACACACACUCAAAAAAAGUCUGAAAUACAGAUUAAUUAUUUACUCCUGUUAUGAAAUGUAAAAACUGUGGAGGUGCUGAUCUCAUUAAGUUUUUAAGAGAAUUAAUAUAGAAACUUUUGACAUGAUAGUGAAAACUGAAUUGGUGUUUUAACUUGGACAGAUGCCUCAGGACUAUUUAGAUACAGGUGCAGUUUGCAAUCCUUGUGUUGCAAUACAUAGAUAUUCUAUAAACUGAAAUGUGACAUGUUAGGCACUUAGUUCUGCGACACUCUGAAAUAUGUUAAACAUAAAUGCUUAGCUUUCCUGUUAUGAGUUGUCCUGCCAGACAGUUUAUGGUGGGAAAGUAAAAAGCAUAUUAUUAUUAUUGGUUUUGCUGUUAGUGUUAUUAGUGUUAUUGUUUGGAGUUUUUAGCACAUUUCUGGUGGCAAGCUUUGAUUUGUAGUUUGUGAGCAUCUUUACAGUAUUUGAUAUUUUUCAGAUAAAUGUCCUAAUAAGAGUUAUCCAUGUAAGCAACUGCUCUGCAGCAUCAAAAAACAGUUUCUUAUUUUCCCACUUGUUAAUAUCAAGAGUUUCAAUUUGAAAAGGAAAUUCUGAUUGACUAAGAUAUUUUCAGGAACUGAGAUCAUCACUGGGAUAUUUUUUCUUCAUGUGUUACUUCAUUGAUGUCUUUGGACCAGACUGAAAGCUUUUGCUUAUUUCACAAACACUUGUGCAAGCAGACCUCUUGAGUAAAACAACACCAUAAAAAAUCAAAAAGCAAAGCGGGAGACCUUAUUUCAAAGUUUUUGGAAGGCAAGACUGCCAAAAAUGUUUUGGUUUUGUAAAGCAAGCACAGUCUGAUCCUUUUUCUAGCCUCUCUACCCUUUUUCUCAUGAUAGUUUGCUUCAUGUGGCUUAUAAUACCUGCAUUUUCUGGCAACAUUUUUUCAUCUGCCUUUUUGAGACAUGGAGAUCUAGAUUCCUUGGGCUCUAAUAAGAAUUCAGGCUAAUCUAGAAGGAAUCUAAUAGUUUCUGAUAAGAAUUUUGAUGUUAUUACCCAGCUGAAGAGGUUUCAAACCAGGAUAUGCUGUUUGUAGUUUCUGCCCUUUGCCAUUAUACAAUCAAUGCACAUCUUCUGCUGCUCAGGGAUGCUGCUUAUUAGGUAAGAGUUACACUGAGUGUAGUUCUGCUUCUUUGUAUAAGGUGAUAAGAACAUAGUCAGUGAUUCUUCCAAACUGCAGUUGCAAAAAUCUGAAUACAUUAGGACAACACUCCUAUUUACUAUAUGAAAGAUAUUGUUUAGUAUGUGGAACACGUGUAAUUGUUAUUACUUAAGGUAAAAUAAAUCAGAAACUUUGAUGUAUGUAAUCUAUACUCCUCUGAUCUAUUUAGUGGGCUGACAUGAAGGGCUGAGCUAGCUAUAUGGGUCCCUUAGGAUCCUCAGAUGGAACAGAGAUUUUUUUAUGUUGCUCUAAUUUACUCUUGGAGACAGUUUGGCCUCCUGCCAGUCUGGGAUAGAAAGAAGAGGGAGGUGAUCAUCUCUUUCUUUGUCUUCUCUCAUCUACACAGUGUUGCAUGGUCCCAGCUGUGCUUCAUUAAUGCCUGGGACAGCUUAUGAUUUCAAGCUUUUUGGAGAAGAAAGUAGUUGUACCUAGGAGCUGGCUGCAGGAAGUGAAACACCUGGAGUUAACGGGAUCAGAUCUCCUGCAGUGAAGCCAGACUUGGUCAGAGGUUGUGCUACGGAUGUGAGAGGUGUUAGCAAUCCCCCUUAGUUGCAUGGGUAUUCUGGAGGUGUACAAGUCCUGAGCGUUGUGAUGGUGCUGUCAGAUGUCUCCUCUUAUCCUGUGAGGAAAACUUCGCACUCUGAGGCCAACAGCAGGAGCAGCCCUGCUGGCACGCUUCUCAAAGUGGCUAAAGCCAGGUGGGAACCGGGAGCCUACCCUUGGAGAAGACCUAAUCUUCCCGAAGAGUUCUUGUUAAGACAGGUUGUAGAAAGAGCCCAGUGGGGACUUUGCCAGGAAAGCCUCAAGGAGAACCCUGUCCCUCUCAUAAGCAGUGCACAUGCAGAAGAAUAAGCAAACAAGUUUCAGGGAACAAGACGUGUCUGUAUCCAGAUAAGCAAGUAGCUCUGUGCAGGUGGGUAGGAUGAAACAGUGGUUGUAAGGACCAAACAUCUGCAUAGCACCAACACCAGCCUCCAGAUGCCUCUCAGGGCUGGCGGUGUCUGUCCCCAGGCUGGUCCUGCAGACCGCCUGGCAGUGCUGGAGCACCCUGGACACACUUCUGAGGUGCACCAGUUGAGUUAGUUUCACCCAAAGGGAACCCAGUUCUGCUCAGAAACCACUCUGCUCUGCGGACCAAAGCACAGCACAGGGGGAGAGUCAGGAGAGUAAUUCAGAAAUGCACCCCUGAUUUAGACCAAGAACAGUACAGAUAGGUCCCUGUUUCUAUUGACAUUGCAUUGUAUAAUAUUUUACACUUUAAAAGGUUCCCUAUAAUUCAGUGGUAUUACUCAGGAUUUAAAGCAUCACUCACUGUUGUGAAAUGUAAGAUAUAUGCAUUGCUUCACUUGCCAAAUGCAAAAUUUUGGGUUCGAGAAUUCUAAAAUGGAUUUUCUUUACGCAGUCUCUAUGGCUACUGAUGCGCACAAGGUAUGCUGUAUCAUUUUGAGAUGCAAGCUGCCAUUUUUGGGAACAAGGAAUAGAGGGGUGAAGAAUUCUGAAGAAACUCAUAUACCUAAUGCUAACACUGGCAAGAAAUAACCUGACUGGGAGCACCUCAUGUGGUGCCAUGGCCAAAAGAGCUGCUGUGAUUACUGAGUACACAGAGAGGGACGUGUAAAGGAGAAUAGAGCUUAUACUAUCUCUCUGCUUAGCGCUGGUGGUGUGACUGCUACUGAAGUAAUCCCAUUCAAUUAUCUGCACUGCAAGAAGGAUGAUAAAUUGGAGGAACUACAGAGUACUGAUAAUGACGAAAGCAUUGGAAAAUAGCUUAUUUUUAAAGAUAGCGAUCUGUUUGACUUAUCACUGAAGUAACUCAACCCUCUGGAAGAACCAACAUGUGGGAAAAGAGCUGGCAAAAGACUCUUCAGUCUAUCACACAAACAGGGAGAUCUAAAGCUCGAAGUUACAACCAAAGCAACAGGUUUUUAAGGACAAAGAAAACUAACCAGUGACACAGCCCGUGUGGCUAUUCUCUAACUUGGAAUCUUAAAUCAAGCAGGGCUACUGAGGCACCAAGAAGUCCUAUGGCCCAUGUUAUGACAUUACAUGUUUGGAGCAAACUGUUGCAGUGGUGCUUUCUAGCCUUAAAAUCUUAAAACACAGACCUCUGGGAAAUGGUACUUUUGAGAAGCCGAAGUGUGGUUGGCUUACUAUUUACCUAUUAAUGUAUUUAAUACAAAUCUCCAUUAAAACAGUUGUUGAUAUCCUGACAACAGAGAAGUUUUACUUUGCCUUACAAAUUGCACACACGUUAUUUCUACAGGUGUGUGCAAAGUGUCGGUCUUUCUGUUUUUAACAGGAAUAGCUUUGUACAAAACAAACAUUUUCCCUGAAGUUUUGGGAUUUUUUGUUUUCAUAUUCCAAAAGUUUCCUCUGGGACCUUAUUCAAGAAACAGUAGAAACAAAGAAAAGUAUAAUAUACAAACCCAUCGCUCUAGCAGUAAACAAAGCUAUUACAAGAGUAAUGAGACAGACCUGCUUUUCAGUCUUAAAUUCCGUGUGGCUGUAGUUGACCUCAUAGAGUUUACAGCGGCCGUUCACAGGGUCCAGUGCUCUACGUGGACAUGACCAAAAUGUGUGAGAGAGAGAAGAAACUCAGCUCAUUUUGUAUGAUUAAAUCCAAACCACAAUACUAGUAAAUGUUUAAAAGUAUUCAAAAUGCAGUAAAAAUUAAUAUUUAAAAAUUCAAACUAUACUUCCUAGUUCCACGCUUUGGCCAGCUGUAUUUAAAAAAAACCUGGGUAUUUAAAUAAAAAACUUUCAGGUACCAAAUCUGCGUUAGUCUCUGUCUUGUUCCGCUUGAACUCAACAGUGGUUUUGCCACUACUUCAAUGGGACCAUAAUAAGGCACUUCACUUUCAAUACCUUAAAACUACUGGAAAAACAGUGGAUACAAUAGGGUUGAGUGCACCUCUAAUAAGUAAUCUUUUUUUCGUACUAUUGCAGUUCCUAGAUAACAAAGAAAGCCAUUUGAAAGACUCAGCAGCAAUGGAGAAACAGGAUGUUAACCAUCUAAUGCAAACUAACUUAUCUAAGUUACAUCUCUAACUCCGUCAACCAUGAAAGACUGGAGAAAACAUAACUGAGAUACAUGAGUGCCAGGAGAGGCUAACCAGCUUGCCUUCCGCAAGGGUGCGCUUCCGCGGAACCUUCCCAAUUGCUUGGAAAGGCAGAGUUUGCCUGAAUCUUUCUGGGGACUCCUCAGAGGCUCCAGAUUUCUGGACAAAGGAGAAGAGGAGAAAAUUAUGACAGCAGAAAAAUCUAUGCAAAUAAAUCCUAAGUACUGAGAGGGAAGCUAGCUGGAGUGCAAGCAAAAUCCUCCACAGGUGGGGGACAACCUUGAGAAACAGCAGUACGAGACGUAAUAUUUUAUAAAGAAAAUGAUGAACUAUUCCAAUAAAGAAAUCAGGAAGCAGAAAUCAUCUCAGGCGUACGUGGAACAACAUCAUGAUGUAAUGGAAAAUGGACUGUAUUACGGCCAGUGGUUUGGUAACAAAGGGAAAGCUGUGAAGCUCAUUUGUGACAAUGCAAAAAAAAAAAAAAAAAAAGAAAAAAAGACAGAGUGUGUUGAUAAUGAGCCUUGAAUAUUCUUUCUUUCCUUCCCCCCUAUUUUGUCACCUUUGGUCUGCUUGGCAUUCACGCAAAUUAGAAGACAGACAGUAAUUUCUCUUUAUAAAUCACUCUUGGAAACUCAAGAAGCACUCCCUUUUCAGCUCUGUCAACAGGGAAUCAUUAACACUGAAAAUAUAUAUCUAUAUAUGCUUAAUUGUUUUUACUGAAAUAAACACUCUGGGUACCCCCUGCCGUUUAAUGAACAUGUACUGGGUUAACUACAGAGGCUGCUACCACUGCCAUCUUUGAUUACUUUGCUAGUGGCAGAUGAAAGCUGAAAACACACUUAUUUUUUUUGACAGUAAAUAUGAUUUCACUUUUUUGGCUUCCAUGUCAACCCACCCUUUUCAAAGUAGGGCAGACUAGCAAAGGCUGUCAAAAUAAGGCUAGCAAGCAAGCGGAGUAGCAGCUCUCUACAGAGUUUGAUUAUUCUUCUGUGAAAGAGUCUGUAAACAAAACCUUUAGGCUUUUGUCUACUAAACAGUGCUUAGAAAUUCUUCCAACCUCGCAUUUUUAAUGUGUGGGAACAUGACUGCAGUAGGAUUCAAGAGCACUCAACAUUUUUGAAAGGAAGGCAAUUUAUUUUUGUAACUAAAUGUGGUCUCAGAAGCCAAAAUCCAGGCAAAAGACUACUUUUUUUUUUAGAGAACAGAAACGCUCUUUGUGCAUGGGUCUUCUGAGCUCUCAGAAAGACGUCCUUCCUUUGCCUUGACUAAAUUUACGAAGAUAAUAACAAAGCAAAAAUUAUUUUCAAGUAUCGCAAAGCUUGAACAUCAAUUUUGACUUUAGAAGUGAAAUGUAAUUGAAAACAUAUAUUCAGGUCUCAUUUUUCACUUCCAUGCUUUGUGCUGUGACAAUAAGCCAGCUAGUCUGAGGCCGUGUCCCUUCAACUAACAAUCUGUUCUUUGAGAUGUCCAGAACCUUUGGAAUGAGCCAGGUGCGUAAUGGGGCACAAAGUCUCAAGCCCCUUCCCUUCCUGGGAAAAUAUUUGGUCUAUGGUUGGGGGAUGCUUCUCUUCACCAGAUCAAUCCACCGGUUUCUGAACAUGACCAGCAUUACCUCAUUCUGACCAUUACCUCAAAGCAGAAACCAAUUGAAUAUUUCCAUUGCAAUUUCUCUCCCAUAUAGAUGGGAUAUAGACAUAGGCCAUGUCUAUACAAGGAAAUAAAAUGUUCCCUGAACUAUCCUUUGACAUUGCAGCCAUAUCCAGAUCCAUACCAUUAAGCUCUUUUAGCUUGCAAGGAGGGUAUCCACACCAAAGUUCUGAUGUGGAGACAGUCUCUGGUUUGUGCAAAGCCCUGAAAUAAGCUAGGGAAAUGUUUGGGAUGGCGAUUGUGGAUCCACACCCAAAACAAGCCAAAGACCACUCUGACUUUGUAAGAUAAUAGAAGAUUUGAUUUCCAGUGCCUGGGAACUUUCCCCAGCACAGUUAAAGUUAUUGGUAUGGAUGUAGCCAUAUAUGUAAAGGUGAUUUAGACAGCAGCUAAGCCUGGAGUUUUUAACUGCUAGCUUUGCCUAAAUAUCAGCCCUAGAUGUCUAAAAGGGAAACCAGUUGCUUAACAGCAUUUCUCAAAUCUAGCUCCAAACGGCCGAGUAGGUGGGUAUCAGUCCUACAUGUUUUUGGAUAGGUUUUUGCCUGAGGUUGUAGAAGUUAUUGCCAGCAUGAUUUCGGUUUGCUUCCUACUAUCUGAGAUCUGCUGAUCACUUUACCUCCAACACGAAUGGCUAUCUUUCAAUCACGUUUUUAAUACAUUUUUGUCCUUAUGUAUUAGAUAGGCAACUACAGAAUGCAAGGCAUAAUGAAAUCUUUAAAAAGUACUUGCAUUGAGAUUCUUAGAAGGGACAAGAUUUUAGAAUCUGCUUAGCUCUUCUUCACUUCAGGGACUUGCUUAAAAUUAGGGAUUACUGCAUCCUCCUAGUGUUAGUCAUUAAUCCUUAUACACAUCACUAGUGUUCACCCACCCAGUAGGGACAGCUUUAAGUGUCUCUCAUAAAAAUGUAAAUAUCAGCCAAACCAUUUUUGCAGACUACAAAUGCUGGUAACAACGAACCCCCUCCCUGCCUCAGCUGUUUCUCCCAACCUUUUCAACGCUGUCAGACUGCUUCUGGCUUCGUAUAAGAUUAAUUCUAACGAGAGAAACCGGUAUGAUUAAAGAAACUUCCAUCAUGCAGGAAGGACUAGAGCAAUAUAUGUGUGCUGCUUAUGGCCAUGGUAACACCUAAGUUAUAGCUGCCUUGCCACCUACUACAAGUAACUUCAACUAGUGUGACCGGGCAGCGGAUGACUCUGCAUUCACACCCACGUACACAGACACACACACACACAAACCCAUCUGUCCCCCAUCACUGGGAAAGAGUGACCUCUAGGAUGAAACACAACUAAUAACACGCAUCUAUGCGAAGAAAACUCUUGGAAAGUAAAGACUGAUAUCACAAAUAUCUUCUGGAAUAAAUAACUAAAAGUAAAGUAUACAGUUUUAAAAAUAUUCUUUAGUCAUAAUAUUAUGUUGAAAACAUUGUACAUAUUUCCCUUUUAAAUAUGCAGGGAUAAAAUAUCUUGGAUUUUACUAAAAGGACCAGGAUUUGAGAUUUUCCAUGUAGAUGCUGAUGCAUCAUGAUUCUACGUGAUCUGAAGAAACAGUCACGCUAUCAAUUUCUGGUGUGUAUGUUACUAUUAGAGUUGCCUGGAAAUAGCUUUUCAAUGUAAAGUGUAAUUUUACAUUUUGGUGAUUUUUUUUUUCCCCUUGGAAAAUCAAAUGGACCCAAAAUUUCCUGAUUGUUUGUUUGUUUGCUUGCUUGUUUGUUUGUUUUUCCAGUUUAAACCUCCUUUCAGAGAAAUGUAAGACAACGAAGACUGUACUUUAUUCAUGUAAUUAGACACUGAAAUAGGCCUUAAAGAUCUUGUACUUCAAAAUAACAGUUGGAGAAGAUUACCAUCAGAUUUUUGUGAGGUUAUCAGGAGCUCUCACUCGGAAAAAUACUAGCAAAAUGGAAGCUGAAGCCAAACCCUUCCCUUGGCAAAGGAGAGGAAACUGCAGUAGACUCUAGCAGAGUCAGAAGAGCAGGUCUGCAGUUUGCUGCGCUCCUUGAAGCAGUGCAACAUUCUGCAGUCUCCCUUCACUGGAAGAUCUCUGGAGUGAAAGAGACAUUUUGAAGACUAUCUUGUGGAUAAGUGAGACAAUUAUUUAACCAUUAAUGAAAUGAAAGUUUUUGCAAAGGUUACAUCAUGUUAUUUGAAUAUUCUGUGAGUUCUUAUUGAAUUCAGGACAAAAACUUUUCAUUGGAACAAGCAGAGAAGAGUUUACAUGAACCGUAAGCAGUUGCUUCCUUUCUGUCUCCUGGUACGAUGUUCAUUUUGGGUACAUCUCACACACAGUAGUUCUCAUGUUCAUUGUGGUAGAGACAGUAUUUAUUUUGAAGAUCCAUUUCUUGGGCAUAUUAUUAGGGAUCUAAACCCUCAUCUGAAAUAUCUUUUGUCUUAUUUUAUUGUGACAGAACAUGCCACAGACCUGAAGCCUACUGCUAGCUGAACCUCCUUUGCAUAAUGCAGAUGUUUUAAUCAGGUGUUCUGAAAAGGAUUUCUUACUCUCUUAUUCUGUAUCUGCUUUCUGUCAUUUAGACAUAGCACAAUUAAGACUUUCAAAGAGACAUGUUUUACAUUUCCAGUUUCCAGUUGCAAGGCUUAAUACAUAGAGGCACUUACUAACUGUAAGAUCACGCAACCUUUGUCUUAAUUGGGUAAACAGGGUGUUUGGAGUAUCACACAGCAGGACCAGGCUAAUUAAAUAUUGUUCAGAUUUCUCACUAGGGAGUUUAUGCAACCACUGAACUAUAAGCUGUAGUGUUGCAGCUCAGAAACUAUGUAAUUAAGGCAGAUAUUUUGGGGAAUGGCUGCCCUUCCUUCCUUAAAGCAACAUAAUCAACCUGCAGCAUUUUGUUGAGAUGGAGUAAAGACAACCUGUCUGAUCUGAGCUGUUUGAAGAAAACUGCUGGAAAUAUAGAUGUUUUUGAAGAAAGAAGUGAACUAAUUUACUAAGUCUUCAAACGAUAACCUUUUGAAUAAACACAUUUAAAAUCAUCAUUUUGGUCUAAAUUGCCAUAGGUGAGUGAAUUUCGUCACUUCAGUUGCAUUUCUUUACGCCUGUGCUAGGAACCCACAAUUCUAUAUUUAGGCUGGAGAACACCAGUAAGAUUCACAACGGUAUCAACAUGCAGGGGCAGACAUGUCUGCGCUAAAUGUUCACACAGGAGGACAGAGGCAAUGACAGAGCACGUCCCUCCUACAAGAACAGAGACAGAAAACAAGAGGGCCACCAAAGGUAAGACUGAGAGAAUGAGAACUUCCAGUGUGUCACUCAGCAGGUUCGUCCUGGCCUUAUUACUUCAGAUAAGAUGACAUACAGGAGAAAGACCAAGAAUACUACAGUGAAGGCCUUGACAAGAAACCUUCCUAUGUUGAGGCAUUUAGGGUACAAUUGGACUAUGGAACUCAUGAACAUCCCAGCUGCUCAGGUAUUUGAGCAUCCUCCAGUUGCAUCCCAUAUGCAUACUGGGAGAGACGGGUAUGCUCACCAUCCCAUUCUGCUUCCCAGUUCUCCCUUUCUGUGUUUAAAAUCAUUUGUGCAUGCUCCAUCAAGCUCUCUAGAUGGCAUGAUCUGGGGCUGCUGAAACACAUUGGAGAAAGUGCCUGCGGUGCAGUUUAGGUGUAACUUUAGAGACUGAUGUGCCCUUGGGACCAAACCACAGCCAACACUAGAAGUGGGAUUCCAUAGGCUUAAACCGGGGUGUAUCACAGUACUUAUGAAUGGCUAAGGGUCUAGGAGUGAGACCCAGACAACAUGGUAGGUAUGGGGAUGCUUAAGCCGUCCAACAGGACAUGCUGAAGUCCUGCCCCUCUCCAAGUUUAGGCAACUCUGUCUAGGUCUGAGUUGGAUGCCAGUUUAGCAUUAGCAUUCACAGCUUAUGCUUUGAUGUCUGAAUGUCCCUUUGGGAAGGGAUUUCUAUUUUAACACAUGCCCCGAAAGAAAUGAAAUGUAAAAGCCUAACGAGUUCUGGAAGCUGAACUUAAAUCCUUUACAGGUCUCACAGGCAAUGAGUGGCAGAGGAAGGCCUUGCAUCUGUCUUCUGUGAAUGCCCGGGAGCAUUUUAACUAACCUGGAGACACUUCACCAUCGCCCACUGAGGACGAUGACUUAAUGGGAUGGCCUUGGGAACAGAGAACUGCUAUUCUGUAGUGCAGGACGGGCUGUUUGGUCCCCAGUUCCUUAGUGCAGUUGUCUGUUUCUGGAAGCUCCUAAACACAAAAGGGGAAAAAAGCGAAAAGAUAAUUUGUCUAUAGCAACUUCAGAACUGUCAAUGAUUGAUAGUAUGGCUGCAAGAGAACAUCUGGAAAAGAGAAGACAUCUCUUGAAGUGAUUGCUGACCAGACCAAAAGUGACGAUGGUACCACAUUCAUGUUACAGAAAUUACAGGUUUUUAACCAAGGUGGAUCUUCAUCAGCACUUAAAGCAACCAGUAAAUAUUUGCUUGUAAAUGAAAAUAUUAAAACAAACUUUUGUUUUUAUGCAUUUUAAUAACCACUAAUGCUCAGAUCUUUAGAUAUUUGACUUUGGCCUACCUAAGAUAUUGCUAUUUCCUCAAAUACAAAACUGCUUAAGAAAUAGUAUCAGCUACAGACUAUGGAUGGCUGAUCCAUAGCCCACAUGACUGAUAGCGCAGUUUGAAUACUAUUUAUUUUUUACAAAAUGUUAUUCACAGGCAGAUAUGUAACUUUAUCAUUUAAACUCCAGGAUUGUUGACGUUGUAAAUGUCUCUAUUUCCUGCAAAUUAUUAAUGUUUGUUAUUGCUGUUGAUGAUAAUGUUUUUGUUUUCAGUUCUUAUUCAAAGCAAACCUCGAGGUUAGUCUAAAUAGGAGACGACAAGCCUAAUUAUGAUCUCAGUCCAGAGUAAGUCUGUUUUAUUCGCCUCUGGUAGACAGACUUAAUGUUAAUUUUGAGAUAAUAGAUGACUGAAUCUGAGCCAAAACUACAAUUUAAACUCCUCCUGUGAGAUCUACAGUACCCUGUAAUCCUCAGGUCCAGGUUCACCUGGAAAAGUUGCUUUGCCUGGUGAUCUCUUAUGCGUUUAGAUCAUCAUAAAAAACUGCUCUCUGCUAACUGAAGUCUAGCUAAUGCAUAGUCUGGUAGUUGAAGGAAGAUUUUCCUCUGUGUAUUUUACUUUUAGAACACAUCUGUCUGCCCUUGAAUUAGUUUGCUCCCUGAACCAUAAUCUCUCUUUUAUCUGGAGAAUACCUGAAAUGUCCUUCAGUUUUAGCAGCAUAUCUUGAAUUCAGCAGAGAUUUCUUAAUACACAGAACAGAUGAGAAUUUGUUUCUAUCCAUUUAUUAUACGUGGAGCAUACCUCAAGAAUCUCUUGACAUUUCCUGUUUUGCUGACUCAAAGUACUAACAGAGAGUAGCAAAAGAAAUACAAUAAUUUGAGCUAUUCUGGGACUUUGAAGCAAGGAGUUCCUCCAGCCUGGAAAAUACGUGAACUUUGAAUUUUCUGUCCACUAUUGCUGGAAACAGAGUUACAGUGUGAAAAGUAAUUGCCUGUAGGGAUGCUAGGUAUGUGUUCAAGAACUGGACAUCAUAAUGUGGUUAGUGUGAAAUUAAUGGAAAAUUCAUAUUUUUUCAUUUUGCCUGGAUUUAUAAAAACAUUUUUGUAAGCAAGUGCAUUUUUAAAUGCCAUUCUAAGAGUGUGCCUACACUUACCAACAUAUUUUCCAAUUGAAUUUUGACUGUAUUUCAAAAUUUUGUUUUAACAGUUACAAAAAAAAAUCCAGUAACAAUAAAUAUAGACAAACUCUGAAAAAUGUGCUGAGCUUGGAUAAGUAGAAACCAUGACUAUGAACGUUAGAAAGGGCAAGGAACAGGAUUCGAUAGGGUGGGGAGCUCUCACUGCUGGUAAAAAGAAAAAAGCAGUAUGCAGAGACUAAAGGACAAUUUUGCAAUAAAAAAAUAAAUAUGCAAGCAGCUGCUAUCAACACUGAUAGAAAUUAAAUGCCAGACUAAGUGUGAUUUUCAAAGGCACUUGGCACUGAUUUAAUUUACGUUCUGCUGGAGCGGAUGGGACUUUUGCUGGUGCAGUUAGCUGAAAGUACGCUUCCGAAAACACUGCCCAGAAAUCAUCCCCACCUAUCCUGCUCCUUGAUCCUGGAAAAUACCUUCAUCAUCUUUGCAAUAAAAAUUUCAGGACAGAAAAUGUUCCCUUGCUGUGUGACCUUGCAGCAGCAACUGCACUGAUACAAGAGUGUUUUUUUUUUUAUUUUAGAACUUGGCCUCACAGGUCAUUCCCUCUGCCCCUCCAGCAGACACAUUUGAGUUUGUUUCUGCUAAAUUCUGUGAGCAGUGCCUGUUGGACUGAGUCUCUGGGCUGGAAGAGAGUUGUUAAUCUUUAACAAUAAAAAUGUGUGCGACUGAGCUGAAA